rnacentral:rRNA from 1 species
GAAUUCGCCCUUAGAGUUUGAUCCUGGCUCAGGAUGAACGCUGGCGGCGUGCCUAACACAUGCAAGUCGAACGAAGCACUUAAGGGGAUCCUUCUGGUGAACCUUUUGUGACUGAGUGGCGGACGGGUGAGUAACGCGUGGGUAACCUGCCCUGUACAGGGGGAUAACAGUUAGAAAUGACUGCUAAUACCGCAUAAGCGCACGGAGUAGCAUUGCUCUGUGUGAAAAACUCCGGUGGUACAGGAUGGGCCCGCGUCUGAUUAGCUGGUUGGCGGGGUAAGGGCCCACCAAGGCGACGAUCAGUAGCCGGUCUGAGAGGAUGAACGGCCACAUUGGAACUGAGAAACGGUCCAAACUCCUACGGGAGGCAGCAGUGGGGAAUAUUGGGCAAUGGGCGAAAGCCUGACCCAGCAACGCCGCGUGAGUGAAGAAGGCCUUCGGGUUGUAAAGCUCUGUCCUUGGUGACGAAGGAAGUGACGGUAGCCAAGGAGGAAGCCCCGGCUAACUACGUGCCAGCAGCCGCGGUAAUACGUAGGGGGCGAGCGUUGUCCGGAAUGACUGGGCGUAAAGGGCGUGUAGGCGGCCUGAUAAGUAUGAAGUGAAAGUCCUGCUUUCAAGGUGGGAAUUGCUUUGUAGACUGUCGGGCUUGAGUGUGGAAGAGGUAAGUGGAAUUCCCAGUGUAGCGGUGAAAUGCGUAGAGAUUGGGAGGAACACCAGUGGCGAAGGCGACUUACUGGGCCGUAACUGACGCUGAGGCGCGAAAGCGUGGGGAGCAAACAGGAUUAGAUACCCUGGUAGUCCACGCUGUAAACGAUGAAUACU